rnacentral:piRNA from 1 species
UGUCCCUGGAGUGACUUGAGCUUCCC